rnacentral:rRNA from 1 species
GAUGAACGCUAGCUACAGGCUUAACACAUGCAAGUCGAGGGGAAACGGCAUUAAGUGCUUGCACUUUUUGGACGUCGACCGGCGCACGGGUGAGUAACGCGUAUCCAACCUUCCCAUGACUAAGGGAUAACCUGCCGAAAGGCAGACUAAUACCUUAUGGUCUUCACUGACGGCAUCAGAUGUGAAGUAAAGAUUUAUCGGUUAUGGAUGGGGAUGCGUCUGAUUAGCUUGUUGGCGGGGUAACGGCCCACCAAGGCAACGAUCAGUAGGGGUUCUGAGAGGAAGGUCCCCAACAUUGGAACUGAGACACGGUCCAAACUCCUACGGGAGGCAGCAGUGAGGAAUAUUGGUCAAUGGGCGAGAGCCUGAACCAGCCAAGUAGCGUGCAGGAUGACGGCCCUAUGGGUUGUAAACUGCUUUUGUAUGGGGAUAAAGUCAAUCACGUGUGAUUGUUUGCAGGUACCAUACGAAUAAGGACCGGCUAAUUCCGUG